GGGUGGGGUGUCCUUUGAAGAGGUGGCCGUGCAUUUCACCAAGGAGGAAUGGGCCCUGCUGCAGCCCGCCCAAAGGGCGCUGUACAAGGAAGUCAUGAUGGAGAACUUCUGGAAUGUGUCUUCUCUCGGGGAAGUGUGUGAUCCAGCAAAUGAAAUGAACGAGCACUGUGUGAAUGAAAAAGGAGUGACAUAUUCAGAUGGGGCGGAAAGCAUUGAAUAUUCUGGUGCCCUGAAAAA